rnacentral:rRNA from 1 species
GAUGAACGCUGGCGGCGUGCCUAAUACAUGCAAGUCGAGCGAACAGACGAGGAGCUUGCUCCUCUGACGUUAGCGGCGGACGGGUGAGUAACACGUGGAUAACCUACCUAUAAGACUGGGAUAACUUCGGGAAACCGGAGCUAAUACCGGAUAAUAUAUUGAACCGCAUGGUUCAAUAGUGAAAGACGGUUUUGCUGUCACUUAUCGAUGGAUCCGCGCCGCAUUAGCUAGUUGGUAAGGUAACGGCUUACCAAGGCAACGAUGCGUAGCCGACCUGAGAGGGUGAUCGGCCACACUGGAACUGAGACACGGUCCAGACUCCUACGGGAGGCAGCAGUAGGGAAUCUUCCGCAAUGGGCGAAAGCCUGACGGAGCAACGCCGCGUGAAUGAUGAAGGUCUUCGGAUCGUAAAACUCUGUUAUUAGGGAAGAACAAAUGUGUAAGUAACUAUGCACGUCUUGACGGUACCUAAUCAGAAAGCCACGGCUAACUACGUG